GAUAAACGCUGGCGGCGUGCCUAACACAUGCAAGUCGAACGACCUCGUUAUCGCAAGAGAACGAGGAAGUGGCGGACGGGUGAGUAACACGUGGGUGACCUGCCCUUUGGUGAGGAAUACCGGCGAGAAAUCGCCGACAAUACCGCAUACGCUCUCUCAUGAGAGCAAAGCUUCGCGCAAGCGAGGCGCCAGAGGAUGGGCCUGCAUCCGAUUAGCUAGUUGGUAGGGUAACGGCCUACCAAGGCGACGAUCGGUAGCUGGUCUGAGAGGACGAUCAGCCACACUGGGAUUGAGAACGGCCCAGACUCCUACGGGAGGCAGCAGUGAGGAAUUUUCGGCAAUGGGCGCAAGCCUGACCGAGCAACGCCGCGUGCAGGAAGACGCUUUUCGGAGUGUAAACUGCUUUUAUCGGGGAAGAUAACAGACGGUACCCGAUGAAGAAGCCCCGGCUAACUACGUGCCAGCCGCCGCUGUAAAAC
rnacentral:rRNA from 1 species